rnacentral:misc_RNA from 1 species
GUCGAAGGUGGGGCUGAUGACUGGGGUGAAGUCGUAACAAGGUAGCCGUACCGGAAGGUGCGGCUGGAUCACCUCCUAACAGGGAGACAACACAAUGAUUUUGAUGCCUGAGUGCUUUUAUUCUUAGGCCGAAAUCCUGUCACCUUAGGUCGAUCGGUACCUCAGCUUUGAAGUCAAGAAUUUGCAGCGAUGCAAGUUGCUUGAUGGAAAUUCUUAGUUCCUAAACUUUGUCUAGGUCACACCCCAAAAGGGAUGAGACUCCUGGGCCAUUAGCUCAGGUGGUUAGAGCGCACCCCUGAUAAGGGUGAGGUCCCUGGUUCAAGUCCAGGAUGGCCCAUUCGGUGUUGGGGGUUUAGCUCAGUUGGUAGAGCGCCUGCUUUGCAAGCAGGAUGUCAGGAGUUCGAGUCUCCUAACCUCCACUGACCGAACUUUGUCCCCAACUUCAUUUGACGGAGUUGAGCUCGAUUGGAGUGUGAUUUAGAUGUGUCCGCUGGAAGACCCCAGCUUCCUGUCAUUCUAAGAAUUGAUUGUGUCAGUUUUUAGUUGAUAAGAUGCUGGGCUCGAACUGAGCAAUCAGUUUGGAGUUCUAGCAGAACCUUGACAACUGCAUAGGUGAGUCUGGAAAGAAUAAAGCAUCUCAUGGAUGCAUCAUUCUUUUAUGGAUGAUGUUUGAUUCUUGAGCAAGAGCCGAGACUCCACCACGUUCUUCUAAUUGUGUCGAGCAAUUGGGAGUUUGAUCUUUAAUUCAGCAAUGAAUUAUGGAGAAUCCGUUUCAACGACGGCAAGCGUGAUGGAGAUUAAUUGGUCAAGCUACAAAGGGCUCAC